AUACGUAGGGGACGAGCGUUGUCCGGAAUGAUUGGGCGUAAAGGGCGCGUAGGCGGCCUGUUAAGUCUGGAGUGAAAGUCCUGUUUUCAAGAUGGGAAUUGCUUUGGAUACUGAUGGGCUUGAGUGCAGGAGAGGUUAUCGGAAUUCCCGGUGUAGCGGUGAAAUGCGUAGAGAUCGGGAGGAACACCAGUGGCGAAGGCGGGUAACUGGACUGCAACUGACGCUGAGGCGCGAAAGUGUGGGGAGCAAACAGGAUUAGAUACCCUGGUAGUCCACACUGUAAACGAUGAAUGCUAGGUGUAAGAGGUAUCGACCCCUUUUGUGCCGGAGUUAACACAAUAAGCAUUCCGCCUGGGGAGUACGGCCGCAAGGUUGAAACUCAAAUGAAUCGACGGGG
rnacentral:rRNA from 1 species